ensembl:lncRNA
CUUGAAUGAGAAUCUCCACUGUGCAUUUGCAGGCUCUUGAGCAAUUUCUCCCAGGGAAGUAAAGACAGACAUCGUAUUAUAUGUGUUCUCCUUGGAGUAAAGAAAAUUUAAAUUAUUCACCUGGGUUACAGAUAUGGAUGGCCUUCCUUGCUGCAGAAAGAAUUUCCAGAUUAAUUCUUCAUUAAGAGAAGUAGAGGAAACAAACUUCUGCAGUGAUACUCCAUGCUGCCCACCAGAAUAUGGAAAAUAAAGAUGAGGUGAUUGGUGGUAUCCAAUGUGGCUUCACCAAGAGUUAGUCAUGCCUGACAAACUUGGUGGCCUUUUAUGAUGGAGUUACAGAUUCAGUAGAUAAUGGAAGAACAACUGAUAUCAUCUACCUGGACUUAUGCAAAGC